rnacentral:rRNA from 1 species
GAUUAACGCUAGCGGCAGGCCCAAUACAUGCAAGUCGUACGGUAACAGGUGUAGCAAUACAUGCUGACGAGUGGCGCACGGGUGCGUAACACGUAUGCAAUCUGCCUUUAACUGGGGAACAACCCCUCGAAAGAGGGGCUAAUACCGCAUAACAUCACCGGACGGCAUCGCCUGGUGAGCAAACCUACGGGGGUUAAAGAUGAACAUGCGACUGAUUAGUUAGUUGGCGGGGUAACGGCCCACCAAGACAGCGAUCAGUAGGGGAUCUGAGAGGAUGAUCCCCCACACGGGUACUGAGACACGGACCCGACUCCUACGGGAGGCAGCAGUAAGGAAUAUUGGACAAUGGAGGCAACUCUGAUCCAGCCAUGCCGCGUGAAGGAUGAAUGCGCUAUGCGUUGUAAACUUCUUUUAUACGGGAAAAAUAUCCGCUAUUCUUAGCGGAUUGAUUGUACUGUAAGAAUAAGGGUCGGCUAACUUCGUGCCAGCCGCCGCCGUAAUAC